rnacentral:tRNA from 1 species
GCUAGCGUAGCUCAAUCGGUAGAGCAGUAGUUUUGUAAACUACAGGUUGUGGGUUCGAGUCCCUCCGCUAGCU